ACUCCUACGGGAGGCAGCAGUGGGGAAUCUUGGACAAUGGGGGCGAACCCUGAUCCAGCCAUGCCGCGUGAGUGAUGAAGGCCUUAGGGUCGUAAAGCUCUUUCGCCAGGGAUGAUAAUGACAGUACCUGGUAAAGAAACCCCGGCUAACUCCGUGCCAGCAGCCGCGGUAAUACGGAGGGGGUUAGCGUUGUUCGGAAUUACUGGGGCGUAAAGCGCGCGUAGGCGGACCAGAAAGUUGGGGGUGAAAUCCCGGGGCUCAACCCCGGAACUGCCUCCAAAACUCCUGGUCUAGAGUUCGAGAGAGGUGAGUGGAAUUCCGAGUGUAGAGGUGAAAUUCGUAGAUAUUCGGAGGAACACCAGUGGCGAAGGCGGCUCACUGGCUCGAUACUGACGCUGAGGUGCGAAAGUGUGGGGAGCAAACAGGAUUAGAUACCCUGGUAGGAUAGCG
rnacentral:rRNA from 1 species